UACGGAAGGCAGCAGUGGGGAAUAUUGCACAAUGGGCGAAAGCCUGAUGCAGCUAUGCCGCGUGUAUGAAGAAGGCCUUAGGGUUGUAAAGUACUUUCAUCGGGGAGGAAAAACAAAACUAAUAAUUUUAUUUCUUGACGUUACCCGAAAAAGAAGCACCGGCUAACUCCGUGCCAGCAGCCGCGGUAAUACGGAGGGUGCUAGCGUUAAUCAGAAUUACUGGGCGUAAAGAGCACGUAGGUGGUUUUUUUAAGUCAGAUGUGAAAUCCCUGGGCUUAACCUAGGAACUGCAUUUUGAAACUGAAAUACUAGAGUAUCGUAGAGGGAGGUAGAAUUCUAGGUGUAGCGGUGAAAUGCGUAGAUAUCUGGAGGAAUACCUGUGGCGAAAGCGGCCUCCUAAACGAAUACUGACACUGAGGUGCGAAAGCGUGGGGAGCAAACAGGGAUUAGAUAAC
rnacentral:rRNA from 1 species